rnacentral:rRNA from 1 species
AUUGAACGCUGGCGGCAGGCCUAACACAUGCAAGUCGAACGAGUGGCGGACGGGUGAGUAAUGUCUCGGAAACUGCACGAUGGAAGGGGAUAAGUACUGGAAACGGUAGCUAAAACCGCAUCUCACCUGAUGUGCCCAGAUGGGAUUAGCUAGUAGGGGGGGUAAAGGCUAACCUAGGAGACGAUCCCUAGCUGGUCUGAGAGGAUGACCGGCCACACUGGAACGGAGACACGGUCCAGACUCCUACGGGAGGCAGUAUUGGGGAAUAUUGCACAAUGGGCGCAAGCCUGAUGCGGCCAUGCCGCGUGUAUGAAGAAGGCCUUCGGGUUGUAAAGUACGUUCAGCGGGGAGGCGUUACCCGCAGAAGAAGCACCGGCUAACUCCGUGCCAGCAGCCGCGGUAAUAC